rnacentral:rRNA from 1 species
AUUGAACGCUAGCGGCAGGCCUAACACAUGCAAGUCGAACGAGGGGCGGACGUGUGAUUAAUGUCUGGGAAACUGCGCGAUGGAGGGGGAUAACUACUGGAAACUGUAGCCAAUACCGCAUACCCUCGGAUGUGCCCAGAUGGGAUGAGCUCGUGGGAGGGGUAACGGCUCACCUAGGCGACGAGCCCUAGCUGGUCUGAGAGGAUGACCAGCCACACUGGAACUGAGACACGGUCCAGACUCCUACGGGAGGCAGCAGUGGGGAAUAUUGCACAAUGGGCGCAAGCCGGAUGCAGCCAUGCCGCGUGUCUGAAGAAGGCCUUCGGGUUGUAAAGUACUUUCAGCGAGGAGGCGUUACUCGCAGAAGAAGCACCGGCUAACUACGUGCCAGCAGCCGCGGUAAUAC